UUCUCGCUCGAAAAAUCGCUAUCAAAGCUCACACACAGACGAGUCUCGUACUCUGUCAAUCACAUACAGCUUUGGGAGAAAGUCCCCGGACAACACCUGUCUUCGGUCAGGAUUGCGGAAACGCGCCGCCACAGAAGCAAUUUUGCGGCUCAUUUUGCAUCGGCCUCCAUCCUCUUCAUCUGCCCAUGUGCCGUCCGCACUCUCACCCGGAAGCUUCGUCAUUCGGACUGCGCCGGAUCUGGAGACCGGUCGCUCUCGGGUGACCGCCCUGCGAAGGGAGACGAUGAUAUGAGUCUGCGCUUCUUUCCAGCUGGUCAUGCUGUGGUGUUGCCAAAGGGCGAGAGGAGGCCAUGGGAUUUUGUAUGGAGACAAGUUGGGCUCAAGGUCAGUUGCGAGAACAUUUCGUCACGGUCAACAGAUAUGCGAUUGCUCACCCUCUUCACUCACGUGCUGAGACGGGUAACUCGAUGGGGCUUAUUCUCGAUGCGAGG
rfam:Zymoseptoria brevis strain Zb18110 contig5824, whole genome shotgun sequence.